rnacentral:lncRNA from 1 species
CCCAACUUGCAAUUCAAGGUUAUAUACAGAUGCUUCAUAUAUCUCAAUGAACAAUCAGUCAAAUCACGGUUCAAUCGACUUAGUCGAUUACAUGUCAGUCAGACCAUUUCUAGGUCGUUCCCACUUGUACCAUACAACCUCCAAUAGUACACUUAGUCACAGAGCCAUCUCAAUGCUCUCGAGCGUCAACUUCACCAAGGUGACGUAUCCACUAGACAAUUGCGUGCGUUCUUUAAGGCGCCGUUUUCGCCAAUGAUAUCCCAAAUCACCAAACCACACAUGCCUACAACGAUGUGCUCAAUAGACAAUUGCGUGCGUUCUUUAAGGCGCCGUUUUCGACAGUGAUGUCCUUAAUCACCGAACCACACAUGCCUAUGACGAUGUGUUUAAUAGACAAUUACGUGUGUUCUUUAAGGCGCCGUUUUCGCCAGUGAUGUCCUUAAUCACCGAACCACACAUGCCUACAACAAUAUGAGUACUAGAUCGAUACGUGCGUUCUUUAAGGCGCCGUUUUCGCCAG